CAGAAGUGAAAGUGAGAAGCUGCAGAGACAACAGCUGUUACUUUUGAACAUAAAGUGUUAGAAGGAUCCUAACCAAAGUUUACUACAAUUCAGUAGCAGAUUCAUAGAAGCUAUACGUGUUACCAAAGGUCAUAGAGCAAGUUGAGGAAAAUGUUCGGAGUUUUUGCUGUUAUAACUUCAGAGCUGAGUCAGCUUGAAAAAUAUGAAGCAUAGCUCUGUCUUCUCUGAACUGGGAGAAAGUCUCCUGCAA
rnacentral:lncRNA from 12 species